GUGCUCGCUUUGCCAGCACAUAUAAUAAAUUGAAAUGAGACAGAGAAGAUUAGCAUGGCCUCUGAGCAAGGAUUAUACUCAAAUAGACAAAAAUCAGAAAAAAAUUAU